GGGGGGAGGGGGGGGGGGAAUAUGUAAUCAACUCGGGGCCGACUAUCCUUUUGGGGGCUCCAAGCGAGAUUUGGUUGCCCCCUUGCAGCAAAUCAUUAGUUUUAGUGGCCUCCCUCUUAAAAGUGGGGAUAAUGCGUUUUAAAAAUGAAUUUCCUGCAAUUCUACACCUUUUUGCCAUGGGGCAGAGAAACCUUGCAACUUUAUAACAAAUGUUAUGCUUUUUCUAGACAUGAUUUAUGCCACAUUAAUAGAAUAUCUGAGAAAGAAUGGUUUUGUUAGUCAAUAGGGAAAGUCAGGGCCCCUGGACACGUGCCCAGUCGCUAGUCGGACUGAAGUUUAGAUCAAAAUUAAGUGACUGCCAGUGACAAGAGUAUAACUGCUGAUGCACAACCAAAUUGUGAAAGUGAGGAGUGGGGCAUAUUAGCAGAAAAUGAAAGCUCUUACAAUAUUUGAUGAUUACAUUUCUCUAAAACAGGCUAUAAACUACAUGUGCACCACCAAGUCAGUACAGUAGGCGAAAUUAAGAGGGGAAAAUAGACCAAAUUAUCAGGGUGAGACAUUGGCUACUAACAUCUACACAACAUACACUUUGCAUUACUUUCUUAGCUACAGUAUACAUAUCUCCCUGGCAAAUGUAAUAAUUUAUACAGCAGCAUACAAUACAUUUUUGCACUCACCUGGUUGUGCUGUGCUCACAGGAAGGUGGCGCAGUGGUCCUUCGUGGGCAAAUUGUCAUCAAAGUUGCAGGCAAUCUCAAUGCUGUGCCUUACAGGGAAGACAUCCUCUUCCCUCAUGUGGUACCCUUCCUGCAGGCUCAUCCUGACAUGACCCUCCAGCAUGACAAUGUCACCAGCCAUACUGCUUGUUCUGUGUGUGAUUUCCUGCAAGACAGGAAUGUCAGUGUUCUGCCAUGGCCAGUGAAGAGCCCGGAUCUCAAUCCCAUUGAGCACGUCUGGGAUCAGAGGUUGAGGGCUAGGGCCUCUCCCCCCAGAAAUGUUCAGGAACUUGCAGGUGCCUUGGUGGAAGAGUGGGGUAGCAUCUCACAGCAAGAACUGGAAAAUCUGAUGCAGUCCAUGAGGAGAUGAUGCACUGCAGUACUUAAUGCAGCUGGUGGCCACACCAGAUACUGACUGUUACUUUUGAUUUUGACCCCCCCCCCCCCCCCUUAGUUCAGGGACACAUUAUUCCAUUUCUGUUAGUCACAUGUCUGUGGAACUUGUUCAGUUUAUGUCUGUUGUUGAAUCUUGUUAUGUUCAUACAAAUAUUUACACAAAUAUUUACACAAGUUUGCUGAAAAUAAACGCAGUUGACAGUGAGAGGGGAGAGAAACCUCUGCCUGGCCUUAAGUCCACAAACAUGUUACAUGUAACAAAAGUUACUUGACCUACAGCAUGGUCAAGAAUGUAAGGUUUCGAACUACUAAACAUUUCAAAUAUUUUUUAUAUAAUAACCCAAAUGGAUUAAGCGUUGCCCCUCAGUGUCAUUCAUAGUAAAACUUUUUUUUCUAUUGAAAUUCAUUGUGGAGAGCUCCUUUAUACCUUUUUUUUUUUUGCUGAGUUUAUCUGUAUUCCCAGUCAUGUGAAAUCCAUAGACUAGGGCCUAAAUAAAAAAAAUGUAAUUGACUGAUUUUCCUUAAAUGAACUGUAGUUUAGUAAAAUCUUUGAAAUUAUUGCAUGUUGCGUUUUUGUAAAUGUUCAGUGUAUUUUGAUGAGUUAGCAAUUAUGCAUAUACAAAUCCUUUUCAACUUAUUUCCUCUGAUUUUGAAGGCAUGACAGAUCUAGUGCCAACGGUGUGUUAGGAAGAAGUUCUUCUUGUUCGGGAAAGUGGUCAAAACCACAUGAAGAUCUGGUGUAUUCUCAAGAACUCCAGAGGAAUGUCACCCUUAGUACACCAGUUACAUAUUUACAAGUGCAACAAUGAAUCAAAUGUUAUAGUAGAAAAGUUCAAGUCUGAAUUGUUAAGUAUAGAAAGCUACUGAAUCGAAUAGGUCUGAAUUGUCAAUAACAGACUCAUCGUAUGUAAUCACCUUUGUCAACCAUGAUCCUGUUUUCAGAGUAGAAUAAGCUGUCUAUUAAGACCUAUGUCAUCGGUGGAGACACGUCCUCCAUAGCGGGUCAGAGUGUCCUGGACCUGGAGAACCCAGAGGCCAAUGGACAGAUGUAUGACCAGUGGGUCUGCUCUGUCAAGGACUUCCCUCGGGUCAUUAACAUGAAGGUAGCAUAAUCAAAUUUUAUUAGUCACAUGCACUGAAUACAACAGGUGUAGACCUUGGUGAAAUGCUUACUUCCGAGCCACUAACCAUUAAUGCAGUUUAAAAAAAUACAGAUAAGAGAUAAAAGUAACAAGUAAUUUAAAGAGCAGCAGUGAAAUAACAAUAGCGAGACCAUAUACAGGGGGUACCGAUACAGAGUCACAGUGCGGGGGCACCAGUUACUUGAGGUAGUAUGUACAUGCAGGUGUUCAGGAGUCUUAUGGCUUGGGGUAGAAGCUGUUUAGAAAUCUCUUGGACCUAGACUUGGCACUCCGGUACCGCUUGCCGUGUGGUAACAGAGAGAACAGUCUAUGACUAGGUUGGCUGGAAUCUUUGACAAUUUUUAGGGCCUUCCUCUGACACGGCCUGGUAUAGAGGUCCUGGAUGGCAGGAAUCUUGGCCCUAGUGAUGUACUGGGCCAUUCGCACUACCCACUGUAGUCCUUGCGGUCGAAGGCCGAGCAGUUGCCAUACCAGGCAGUGAUGCAACCGGUCAGGAUGCUCUCAACGGUGCAGCUGUAGAACCUUUUGAAGAUCUGAGGACCCAUGCCAAAUCUUUUCAGUCUCCUGAGGGGGAAUGGGUUUUGUCGUGCCCUCUUCACGACUGUCUUGGUGUGCUUGGAGCAUGUUAGUUUGUUGGUGAUGUUGACACCAAGGAACUGGAAGCUCUCAACCUGCUCCGCUACAGCCCCGUUGAUGAGAAUGGGGGCGUGCUCGGUCCUCUUUUUCCUGGAGUCCACAAUCAUCUCAUUUGUCUUGAUCACGUUGAGGGAGCGGUUGUUGUCCUGGCACCACACGGCCAGUUCUCUGACCUCCUCCCUAUAGGCCGUCUCAUCGUUGUCGGUGAUCAGGCCUACCACUGUUGUGUCAUCGGCAAGUUUAAUGAUGGUGUUGGAGUCGUGCCUGGCCGUGCAGUCAUGAGUGAACAGAGAGUACAGGAGGGGACUGAGCACGCACCCCUGAGAGGCCCCUGUGUUGAGGAUCAGUGUGGCGGAUGUUGUUACCUACCCUUACCACCUGGGGGCGGCCCGUCAGGAAGUCCAGGAUCCAUUUGCAGAGGGAGGUGUUUAGUCCCAGGGACCUCAGCUUAUUGAUGAGCUUUGAGGGCACUAUGGUGUUGAACGCUGAACUGUAGUCAAUGAAUAGUAUUCUCAAAUAGGUGUUCCUUUUGUCCAGGUGUGAAAGGGCAGUGUGGAGUGCAAUAGAGAUUGCAGCAUCUGUGGAUAUGUUGGGGCAGUAUGUAAAUUGGAGAGGGUCUAGGGUUUCUGCGAUAAUGGUGCUGAUGUGCGCCAUGACCAGCCUUUCAAAGAAUUUCAUGGCUACAGAUGUGAGUGCUACGGGUCGGUAGACGUUUAGGCAGGUUACCUUAGUGUUCUUGGGCACAGGGACUAUGGUUGUCUGCUUAAAAUAUGUUGGUAUUACAGACUCAGACAGGGAGAGAUUGAACAUGUCAGUGAAGACACUUUCCAGUUGGUCAGCGCAUGCUCGCAGUACACCUCCUGGUAAUCCGUCUGGCCCAGCCGCCUUAUGAAUGUUGACCUGUUUGAAGGUCUUACUCACAUCGGCUGCGGAGAGCGUGAUCACACAGUCUCCCGGAACAGCUGGUGCUCUCAUGCAUGUUAGUGUUAUUUGCCUCGAAGCGAGCAUAGAAGUAGUUUAGCUCAUCUGGUAGGCUCGUGUCACUGGGCAGCUCUCAGCUGUGCUUCCCUUUUGUAGUCUGUAAUGGUUUGCAAGCCCUGACACAUCCAACGAGCAUCCAUCUCCUAUCAUUAUAACCUUUUUAGUCAUAAUAUAUAUAUAAACAAACUUUUGUCGGGAUGACAUGUUAUACUAUAUCAUGUCCACCCAUAUUGUAAACUUUAAAAAAAUAUAUAAAGGUUCUUCCCCAGCUUUUUAGGUUCCUUGGAUAACUUUUGCCCAAUAAAGAACCUUUGCAUUAAGUGUGGGGUUCUUGACGUGGCAUUUGUUAUUCAGAAUUCUAAAAGGUUCUUGAAAUACAUACUGUAGAUGCCUGCAGAUGUGUCUCUUUCAUAGCACACAGAAAAUUGACCAGUGUUAACUAAUGUUUUCAGUGUAACAUUUAUAGUGAUGAUUCAAGAGUUCAAUUAACAUUCAGUGGUGUAAAAGAACCCCAGUGUUGGUGUUAAUAACCAGAGUUGAACCAAAGCCAUGCCCAUCGUUAUCAUAUUUUCCAGCAUGCUCUAUUGCAGAUUUUUUGUUGUUUGUUUCAACGUCUAUGUUUUUGUAUGUACAUUGAUUACUUAACCGUACGCAAUUUUUAAAAACCAUUCCCAUCUGUUGGACUUAUUGCAACCGUUACUGAAAUGGAUUUUCCAGUUUAGAUGUUUAAGGUAGUAGCAUAUCUUAGUCUUCCCAACCCUGGCAAUCUUUCUGAUUGGAGGUUGCUGGUGAUUACACAUUCAAAAUUCUGGAUAUCCCCAUUCUGGCUGGAUUCAAAUAGGACCACUGUAUUAAGGUAAAACUAUAGUCUCAAAAGAAGGCCUUAUUGAAACAUGUUUUGUCUUAAAGAAUUGAAUUUGAAUGAUUACACUAACCUAGGAUCUCACUUGGUGAAAGCCACAGGACUGAAAAUGAAUGCAACAACCAUGUCUCUGACACUAGCAAGCACAGACAUGGAUGGUACUGGUAACUCAAAAAUUCACUUGAAAGGCACCCUGGGAAAUAUGCAAAUAAUGCUUAAAACCCUAGAGCAGGGCUAUUAAAUUCCGGUUCUAAAGGUCUGAAACAUUUCUGUUUUUUGAUGGUUUAUUAUUCUUUAGACACCCUCACCCUAACAUGGUUCCAAUGACAUCGCUCUCAAUAACCUUAUUUGGUUCCAACUUGCACCUUUAUUUUUAAGAGCGUAGCUGCGACCAAUGUAUGAGCUGGAGAAGGAGGUGCAGUAUGCCGAGCUGAAGAAGCUCCUUCUCAUGAGAGCUACAGAGGAGUCCCUGGCAGAGGAACAUCCCUGCCACAACAACGGGCAGCUCCUGCUAACUGGAACAGUGUAAAUGUUAUUUUAAUGUUAUUAUUACUUGUACUUUUGAACCCUUUUUUUGUUUUUAUCCCCAAUUUCGUGAUAUCCAAUUGGUAGUUAAUCUUAGCCCAUCGCUGCAACUCCUGUACGGACUCUGGAGAGGCGAAGGUCGAGAGCCAUGCGUCCUCCGAAAAACACAACCCCACCAAGCCGCACUGCUUCUUGACACACUGCUCGCUUAACUCUGAAGCCAGCCCACCAAUGUACCAAACACCGUACAGCUUGCGACCCGAAGUCAGCGUGCAUGCGCCUGGCCACCACGAGUCGCUAGAGUGCGAUGGGACAAGGACAUCCCAGCCGGCCAAACCCUCCCCUAACCCGGAAAACUCUGGGCCAAUUGUGCGCCGUCUCCCGGUCACGGCCGGUUGCGGCACAGCCCGGGAUCGAACCCUGAACUGUAGUGAUGCCUCUAGCACUGCAAUGCAAUGCCUUAGACCGCUGCGCCACUCGGAAGGCCAGCACAUUCUAAAUAUGUCUGCAGGUCUGGCACCUCAGGCCCUGGCUGUGAAAGUGGCACUCAUUAGAGAGCAGCCAGAUUGCACACUUCAUGUAAUUUAGGGUUGUUUAAUAUUUUGUUCACUGGCACUGUAUUGUUCCUAUUGCCCCUUGCCUCUGACACUUGGCCAGCAGGAUUUCAGAUCAAUGUAUAUAGUUGUACAUUUAUGCAUAAUGAUUGUAAAUGUGAUAUUUUGGGUAUGUGUUUUAUAAUGGGUGAUCCAUGGGAGCUGUAGCUGCUGGUUGUCAUGGGGAUCCUGUUCUCAGGGUCAAAUGUCAAGGCGAGGGGGAGCCUCCCUUGUGUGAGCUGCCCACAGAACACACGUCCUGUUAAGUGCCAGACCUACAACAUUUACAGUGAGGAAACUUGACCGAGCAGCUGUCAUCGAAUUUGAUAAACUUAUCAGUCAUGUGAGGACUCACUUGAAGUGUAAGAGGAAUGGGAGAUGGAGUAAUACAGUGCUAAGGCUCAUAGAGAGAACUGGAUACUAUUAUGAAUUGUGUGGUGAGCCUUCUGGAGCCAAGAGCCGCUGAGGCAUCCCCCAAGCGUGUGCUUCACAGAGUGGAAGGCAAGAAGUCCAGUGGCUAUAUGACUCAGGCUGGUUCCCAGACUUGCCCUUUACAAUAUCAUCAGCAGACUCCAUCACUAUCAUUUGACCAGCUCCUUCCGCUCAAGCCGUCAACUGACUAAUUUAUCUGCAUCUCCAGCCCGUAUUUAUCCUGACAAUGAAGUGUUUCGCAAUUUUUCGUUCCGGGGCUAGAAGCAGAAUAGAAAACAAUUUGACAUAAAUAGUUGCAUUCAUUAGUUUUGACAAAUGUCAAUUGAAAAAAUAAGGUCAGACAAAGCAAAAACCUGAAAUGAUUUUAUAUAAAUGCUGUAAGUACAGAAAUUGUAUGGUCACUGGGAAAUUAAUAUCUAACUAGUCAGUGACAACUGUGGGGCAGUUGGAGUUUGACAGCAGCUGUGAGCUUAUUACAGUUUUGUAGACACUAUGUUCUGGGAUUUCCUAUGAUCUUGGGACAGCGGUCGGUUGUGAGUGAAUGUAUUAAUGUCUUCUGUUUUUAGUGUAUGCAACAUGGACUGACUGGUUUAAAUAUGUAUGAUGUGACAAUGGAUUUGAUCCUUUUUUAAUGGAAGGUGAUACCAAAGAAAAAUUGUAUUCUAUGGACAGUACCUUCAGAAAGUAUUCACACCCCUUGAAUUUUUCCACCUUUUGUGUUACAGCCUGAAAUUUAAAUUGAGAGUUAGUGUCACUGAUCUUCACACAAUACCCCAUAAUGUCAAAGUGGAAUAUUGUUUUUAGAAUUUUUUUCAAAUAAAUAUUUAUUUUUUUAAAGCUGAAAUGUCUUGAGUCAUUAAGAGUUUAACCCCUUUGUUAUAUCUAUCCUAAAUUGGUUCAGGAGUAAAUGUCCGCUUAACAAGUCACAUUAGUUCAAUAAUAGUGGUUAACAUGAUUUUCAAAUGACUACUUCAUCUCUGUAUCCCACACACACAAUUAUCUGUAAGGCCCCUCAAAUGAGUAGUGAAUUUCAAGCACAGAUUAAACCACAAAGACCAGGGAGGUGUUUUAAUGCCUCGCAAAGAAGGGCACCUAUUGGUAGAUGUGUAAAUAGAUAAAAAGCAGAUGCUGAAUAUUCCUUUGAGCAUGGUGAAUUUAUUAUUUAGGCUUCAGAUGGUGUAUACAUCGAGACAGAUCCUCAGGUAGGCGGGGCCUCAGGUACUUGACCUGUCACCACAUACACUGAGUCUAAGCACACCUUAGCACAUUAGCUCCAGUUAAAAUAAACUCAGAGUUGAGACCCAUAUCAGAGUAUUGGGGCUGACUGUGUUUGUCUGCAGGAUAAUGGAGCCUCAGUGUUUUGGUCUUUCUAUGUCCACACAUGAUGUGGAGCCCUGUCAGCCCUUAGGACUGGUUUUGUCCUGGUAAUGUUUACUAAAUGAUCCAUGAGUAUCUAGAGACCCAGAGAUGAAUACCUUGUGGGCAGUAAGAUUGAGUAAUCCUGCAUAGAGGGCCACUGGUUGUCAGUGUACUCUGUUGCAUAGUGCAUUGAUAACCAGAGCUGGACCAGAGUAACAAUGUAAUGCAGGAGUAGGUACUCAAAGGUAACACAUUCAAUUUGGGCAUUACAAUCCUGAGAAGGAAGUUGAGGUCUGCAUCUUUAAAACACAUGGAGAAUAGUAAGACACUUCAUUAUUUCUAUAACUAUGCUAUAUUGUUUGUCCUCGUGUGUCUGUCCAUGUUUUUCCAGUAUAAAGUACUCUGCAGCCACUUAGUGUGGACACCAGGUGAGGCCACACACAGAUUCCUGUUGAACACUGUCUCUUUAACUACCUUAUUUUCUCAAUAACAGUCUCUCUCCUUUGUUUCAUCCCUCUCUCCUCUUCUCCCUAAAUACUCUAGGUUAUAUCAGCUGUGUCAGUGAGCCCCUCCCGCAUCUGAACUGGCUACAUAGACGGCACAACAUGAUCAGAGAUAUGUUUUGAUGUGAGAGAGGAUGCCAACCCCCAGUCCCAUCAUCGCCACCUCACGAGCUUUUAAGAUAAACGUCUAGUCGGCCAGAAGGUUAGGUAAUUGUGAUGAACUGAGAGAAUAUUAGGGUAGCACUGUAAUUCAUUAAUCAUAUCCUGUAUUCCCUGCUCCUCUGUUCUUAGCACUUUCCCUUUCUCUCUUUUACACCUCUUUUACCACCUCUUUCUUCCUGUUUUCAUAAUGCAUAACAGAUGUACAUUGAGGUACAGAUUGAACUUGUAUUUAUAACACUUGGAUAAUGAACUUUUUUCAAUUAAGCAUUUCACAUUCUCUACUGGUUGAAAUUAAGUCUAUCACUUGAUGAAAUACUACACCUGUCCUGUGUAUCAGAGCAAUGCAGAUGAAGGACAUUAGAUAUUGAGAUGAACCGGUUUUAGAGUAUUUACAUGAUGCAUAGGAAGUGUAGUGUAUGGCUUUUUAAAUUAUAUUUCUGUAUAUAUGAAUUACAAAUCAACCUUUAACUUAACUAGUUAAAUCCUGUUUCUAGUCUAUUAGUUACAAUGUGUAAUCAUUGAUGUCCCAGGACCAAGAUUGGUAAACACUGUUGAAGUGUGGAAUUGUAAUACAUACAGUUGAAGUUGGAAGUUUACAUGCACUUAGGUGGGAGUAAUUAAAACUCGUUUUUCAACCACUCCACAAAUUUCUUAACAAACUAUAGUUUUGGCUAGUUGGUUAGAACAUCUACUUUGUGCAUGACACAAGUAAUUUUUACAACAAUUGUUUACAGACAGAUUAUUUCACUGUUUUGUAGACCUUCACAAGUCUGAUUCAUCCUUGGGAGCAAUUUCCAAACUGCUGAAGGUACCACAUUCAUCUGUACAAACAAUAGUAUGCAAGUAUAAAUACCAUGGGACCACGCAGCCGUCAUACCGCUCAGGAAGGAGAUGCGUUCUGAUGCUAGAGAUAAACGUACUUUGGUGAGAAAAGUGCAAAUCAAUCCCAGAUCAACAGCAAAGGACCUUGUGAAGAUGCUGGAGGAAACAGGUACAAAAGUAUCUAUAUCCACAGUAAAACGAGUCCUAUAUCGACAUAACCUGAAAGGCCGCUCAGCAAGGAAGAAGCCACUGCUCCAAAACCGCCAUAAAAAAAGCCAGACUAUGGUUUGCAACUGCAUAUGGGGACAAAGAUCGUACUUUUUGUAGAAAUGUCCUCUGGUCUGAUGAAACAAAAAUAUAACUGUUUGGCCAUAAUGACCAUUGUUACGUUUGGAGGAAAAAGGGGGAAGCUUGCAAGCCGAAGAACACCAUCCCAACCGUGAAGCACGGGGGUGGCAGCAUCAUGUUGUGGGGGUGCUUGGCUGCAGGAGGGACUGGUGCACUUCACAAAAUGGCAUCAUGGGGAAGGAAAAUUAUUAUGUGGAUAUAUUGAAACAACAUCUCAAGACAUCAGUCAGGAAGUUAAAGCUUAGUCGCAAAUGACCCCAAGCAUACUCCCAAAGUUGUGGCAAAAUACCUUAAGGACAACAAAGUCAAGGUACUGGAGUGGCCAUCACAAAGCUCUGACAUCAAUCCUAUAGAAAAUUUGUGGGCAGAACUGAAAAAGCAUGUGCGAGCAAGGAUGCCUACAAACCUGACUCAGUUACACCAGCUCUGUCAGGAGGAAUGGGCCAACAUGUAUUGUAGGAAGCUUGUGGAAGGCUACCCAAAACAUUUGACACAAGUUAAACAAUUUAUAGGCAAUGCUACCAAAUACUGAUUGAGUGUAUGUAAACUUCUGACCCACUGGAAAUGUGAUGAAAGAAAUAAAAGCUGAAGUAAAUCA